GACGAACGCUGGCGGCAGGCUUAACACAUGCAAGUCGAACGAUCUCUUCGGAGAGAGUGGCAGACGGGUGCGUAACACGUGGGAACCUACCUUUAGUUCGGAACAACGUCGAGAAAUCGUCGCUAAUACCGAAUACGCCCUUCGGGGGAAAGAUUUAUCGCUAAAAGAUGGGCCCGCGGCAGAUUAGCUAGUUGGUGGGGUAAUUGCCUACCAAGGCUACGAUCUGUAGCUGGUCUGAGAGGAUGACCAGCCACACUGGAACUGAGACACGGUCCAG
rnacentral:rRNA from 1 species